ACGCUGGCGGUGCGCCUUAUGCAUGCAAGUCGAGCGAAGCUUUUCAGUAGUUUACUACAGAAAAUGACUGAGCGGCGAACGGGUGAGUAACGCGUGAGCAAUCUACCUUAGUUACAGGGAUAGCCCGAGGAAACUCGGAUUAAUACCUGAUAUUCUUUACAUUUCACAUGAAAUCAAAAGGAAAGGUCAGCCGAACUAAGAUGAGCUCGCGUUCUAUCAGCUAGUUGGUGAGGUAAUAGCUCACCAAGGCAACGACGGAUAGCUGGUCUGAGAGGACGAUCAGCCACACUGGGACUGAGACACGGCCCAGACUCCUACGGGAGGCUGCAGCAGGGAAUAUUGCGCAAUGAGCGAAAGCUUGACGCAGCGACACCGCGUGUGGGAUGACGGAUCUAGGUUUGUAAACCACUUUCAGGAGGGAAGAAAAUGACGGUACCUCCACAAGAAGCCCCGGCCAACUACGUGCCAGCAGCCGCGGUAAUACGUAGGGGGCGAGCGUUGUCCGGAUUUAUUGGGCGUAAAGAGCUCGUAGGCGGUUCAACAAGUCGGUCGUAAAAGUUCAAGGCUCAACCUUGAAAUG
rnacentral:rRNA from 1 species